CCUUGUACACACCGCCCGUCACACCAUGGGAGUGGGUUGCAAAAGAAGUAGGUGGCUUAACCUUCGGGAGGGCGCUUACCACUUUGUGAUUCAUGACUGGGGUG
rnacentral:rRNA from 1 species